AGGGACAUUACUGAGUUACCGCUCUAUAACCCUUUGUGAACAUACCUACAACUGUUGCUUCGGCGGGUAGGCCGUCCCCUGAAAAGGACGCCUCCCGGCCCGGACCGGACCCCCCGCGGGACCGGACCCGGCGCCCGCCGGAGGAUAACCAAACUCUAUUGUAACGACGUUUCUUCUGAGUGGCAUAAGCAAAAUAAUCAAAACUUUUAACAACGGAUCUCUUGGUUCUGGCAUCGAUGAAGAACGCAGCGAAAUGCGAUAAGUAAUGUGAAUUGCAGAAUUCAGUGAAUCAUCGAAUCUUUGAACGCACAUUGCGCCCGCCAGCAUUCUGGCGGGCAUGCCUGUUCGAGCGUCAUUUCAACCCUCAAGCUCUGCUUGGUGUUGGGGCUCUACGGUCGACGUAGGCCCUCAAAGGUAGUGGCGGACCCUCCCGGAGCCUCCUUUGCGUAGUAACAUUUCGUCUCGCACUGGGAUCCGGAGGGACUCUUGCCGUAAAACCCCCCAAUUUUCCAAAGGUUGACCUCGGAUCAGGUAGGAAUACCCGCUGAACUUAA
rnacentral:rRNA from 1 species